GCUGGCGGCGUGCCUAACACAUGCAAGUCGAACGAAGCUCCUGAUCUGAUCCUUCGGGGUGAAGAGAGGGAAGACUUAGUGGCGGACGGGUGAGUAACGCGUGAGCAACCUGCCUUUCAGAGGGGGAUAACAGUUGGAAACGACUGCUAAUACCGCAUAACAUAUCGGAGUCGCAUGGCUCUGGUAUCAAAGCUGAGGCGCUGAGAGAUGGGCUCGCGUCCGAUUAGAUAGUUGGUGGGGUAACGGCCUACCAAGUCGACGAUCGGUAGCCGGACUGAGAGGUUGAACGGCCACAUUGGGACUGAGACACGGCCCAGACUCCUACGGGAGGCAGCAGUGGGGGAUAUUGCACAAUGGGCGAAAGCCUGAUGCAGCAACGCCGCGUGAGGGAAGACGGUUUUCGGAUUGUAAACCUCUGUCUUUGGUGAAGAAGGAAGUGACGGUAACCAAGGAGGAAGCCACGGCUAACUACGUGCC
rnacentral:rRNA from 1 species